GCCCCUCCCAAUGCUCCUUUUUCCUAUAAAUAAAACGUUUCAUCUCAAAGAGCAAUCAUAAGAUCUUGACUGGUCAAUCCCACUCAGAGGUUUUGCCAUCAUGGACCAUUCACAUCACGGACCACCCCAUGGUCAUCCACCAGGUCAUCCACACCCUGGGCCACACCACCACCCACACCCUGGACCACACCACCACCCAGGGCAUGUUGCACCACCUCAUGGAGGCCAUCAUCCCCCUCCGCAUGGACAUCACGAUCCUCACCACCAGCCUCCUGGCCACCAUGGACCGGGCCCACAUGGUCACCAUGGAAAACAUUAACCCUUUGUAAUGUGCAGGGUAACCAUGCUAGCAAGAUGGCAAAGACACCUUCAAUUAUGAUUUCACUUACUUAUAGAAAUAUAAUAAAGUCUUUCAAAAAUU